rnacentral:tRNA from 1 species
AUAGUAUCAAAUUAGAGCUUGGUAGAAAGCUUUUCAUUUACACUGAAAAAUUUACUGUGCAAAUCAGUUUAGUUUG